GUUGCGCACCUCGGGGUAGUUUCUGAUCGUCGAAAAAAUGGCUGGCGGCCAGCGAACGGCGACGGCCAGAUUCGCCCCUAUUUUCGGCCGAAAAUUAAAUCUCAGAUCUAGUAAGAUCUGACCGUCCGAUGGGUUUCAUUUUAAUAUAUGUUGUUAUUCGUGGCGAGGGCUUCGUAUCGGUAUAUUGGUCGGCCAUUUUUGGCCUGCCGGCGGCGGUCGCCGGCGGUGGCAGUGUGUUGGAAAGAAAAGAAAAGGAAAAAAAAAGAAAGAAAAGAAAAGAAAAAGAAAGAAAAGAAAAGAAAAGAAAAGAAAAGAAAGGAAAAAGAAUAAAAGGAAAUAAAAAUAAAAAAAUAAAUAAAAUAUAAGGAAAAAGGAAAUGAGGGCUUUUGGGGUUGGGCAUGUCGGGUUAGGUUUUAGCCUAGGAUGGCGGGGCCCGAUUGGGUUUUAGGAUGGCCCAAUGUGUUGGGCAUGACUGACCCAGUUGUGGCAGCCCUUGGGCUGGCCCACUCGGCUUGUUCUCCCUUGUCGCUUGUCCGGGAACCUAGGAUGACUUGGUUAGGUUGGUCCUACUCGGGAUAUCGAUGUCAGUUUAAUUUGGGUUCUCUUUAGGUCUCCUAGAAUUGGCGAUAUGAUUGGCGAGUCAUUUUGUUGAUCGGAGUCCUAGGGACGAAGCCCUAUUAGACGACUCGAGGCCGAGUAAGACUGACCCCGAGUGCGUUCUAGGCUAGCCUAUGAUGAUGACGUGGGUUUAUUUCGAAUCCUGAUUUCUGAUGGAUUCCUUUUAUCUGAGGCUAGAAUAUUGCAAUUUAUUCCUUUUAAACCAUUUAUUAAAUUAUUAAUUAAUUAUUAAGUUUUCAAGAAAAUUUAUCAAUUUAGUUAUAAAUAUAUAUAUGUAUGUAUUUUUGAUAAAGGAGGAAUUUAGAUAAAAAAUAUAUUAUCUAUAUUAAAAGAAAACUAGUUUAUGGGUAAAUAUAUAUAUAUAUAUAUUAUGAUAUUGCAGCCUAUAAGUGGGUGUGUAGUUCCACUAUACACUUACGCGUAGCAAGCAAAGCGAGACAUGAUGACGUAGUCGAUGGCUUAGCUCGACGAAUUCCAUGACGCCAGAUUUGAAUAUUGCGCGGGCCAAGGCUCAGAUUCUCAGGAUUUUGUUCGAUCUUCUCCCCAGACUCGGACUUGAGUCAUCAUUUCCCAGGCGAGU